rnacentral:snRNA from 1 species
GGAUGUGAGGGCGAUCUGGCUGCGACAUCUGUCACCCCAUUGAUCGCCAGGGUUGAUUCGGCUGAUCUGGCUGGCUAGGCGGGUGUCCCCUUCCUCCCUCACCGCUCCAUGUGCGUCCCUCCCGAAGCUGCGCGCUCGGUCGAAGAGGACGACCAUCCCCGAUAGAGGAGGACCGUUCUUCGGUCAAGGGUAUACUAGUAGCUGCGCUCCCCUGCUAGAACCUCCAAACAAGCUCUCAAAUACCUGUGAAAAUCAAGUUAAGUUAGGAAGGAUUUAUUUUAGCUCAUUGUUUUAUU